GCCAAGAUAUGUGCACGUUUUCUUCAUAUGCAUAUUGAAGAAAUUGCGAACUUUUGCGUGUGUGCAGAAUUACACCUUCUGCUAAACCGGAGCCAGAAAGUCACUUCUUUUUUUUUUUUUUUUUUGAGGAAGAUUAGCCCUGAGCUAACAUCCAUGCCCACCUUCCUCCACUUUUUAUAUGUGGGAUGCCUACCACAGCGUGGCUUGCCAAGCGGUGCCAUGUCCGCACCCCGGAUCUGAACCAGUGAACCCCAGGGCGCCGAAGUGGAACAUGGACACUUAACUGCUGUGCCACCGGGCAAGCCCCAAGAAAGUCACUUCUGAAAGUAUAUUUCCCCUCAAAGUGCUGAUCUAGGACAUAGCAGCAGUAGAAUCCACUUUGGGAAACUGUGCGAUCACUAACCUGAACGUGGAUGUGGAAGAUAUUACAAUUGUAAGAAUGGUCUAGUAGAAUAAUGAGUUUCAUGGACAAGAAAUCCAGAUGUUUCCCAGACAAGAGAAAAGCAGGAAAAUGGGAGUGACUAAACCCUUGAAGAUGCAGCCUCGCGGAUGUGGGCCUUGGUCUUCCCACUGCCUGUCCUCACAGCCUUGGACACCUCAGAACUCUGUGAAUACGUGAUGCAGGCCAGGAUGCUAACUAACCCCAGUUUGGUUUGGGUUCAUGUGGGAGUUCCAGAAGACCACUGAAAUUUGAUGACCAGGUCGAGAUAACUUUUUUUAAAACCACCUUAUUGAGAAACUGCAACUGGAGAUCAAAGAUGAUGCUGUACACAAGAAAGUAACGGAACUCCAAUCAGACUGUAAGAAAAUUUUCUACAACACAAGACUGAUGAGUGAAUACACAAAGAAAUGAUGGAAGCAAAAGUAAUUUACUUAGCAUGACUGUUUUCUUCUGACUGGC
rnacentral:lncRNA from 1 species